UGGCCUUAAACUAAUGAGUAAGGAAAAUAACGAUCUGGGUGACGCCAGAUCCCACGAUCAGUUUUCGUGAAGAAUUUUUGACGGGACCAGAGGCUACCCGCCAGGUGACCCGCUUACUUUACGGGACGUCUGCGUUGCGAAGCCUCCGUCCA
rfam:Nematostella vectensis strain CH2 x CH6 NEMVEscaffold_1_Cont151, whole genome shotgun sequence.